rnacentral:lncRNA from 1 species
GGAGGAGGCGGAGGAGGAGGAGGAGGCGUGUGCAGGCUGUGCAAUGCUCCUGCGUGGGGGCUCGGUAGACUUUGCUAGCCGGAGCCACCGGCCCGGGGGUGCUGCUUGCAGACCCCCGACGACUCACCCGGUUAACCCGCUGCAGUUCUGAGCCUGCCAAGAAGUCCCGGCCUCAGCAGGUGGUGUGGACCUGGCUGUGGCCAACCAGAGGGCACGGAGAAGAGGGAACCCCCCCCAAAUGAAAAAGGCAAAAGAAAGGAUAAAAUUCGCAGCCUAUGGGAGGUUGCACAGUACAGUGUGAAUGUCAGCUCUGCUUCUCAGAGGCGGAAUGGAGAGCAAAGGAGAAAUGACCUUGAACUCAAAAGCUUCGGUCCUGCCCACUUUCCGUGUACCUGGAGAGUAAUCCCUGCCAUAACAUCAUCUUUGAGAGAAGCUUGCCAGUGUGAGACCCGUGUGACAUUCCUCCACCAAAGCAACUCACACCAGUAAGGGAGAAGGCGCAUGGCUGAAUCUUCAUUCAAAUAUGGGUGAUUUUCCCUCCUGCUGAUGAAUAAAGCUACAUAGUCAGGUGUAUAGCAGAAGGUGAAAUGAAUGUGCAUUCUCUCGUCUGAGCUUUAUUUUCUGAAUAUCAGGCAAAUGAGACCCCAGUAUAGCUGUGAGUAUUAGGAUGAAUGUCCUAGCCUGACUUAAUUCUAAGAGUAUGACCAAGACAUUAUGUCUUUUGGUAAUGGCUCUGAAUCUUCAACUUGGUCUGGCGUAGUCAUCGUUUGACUGUACAUCCCAGAUAGAAAGUCCAUGCAAGCUAUUGCUAAUGACUCAAAACUACUGCUUGUUACCAGCAGCUCGGUGCCAUUUAGGGGUCACCUUUUUACCUGAAACCAUCAUGAGCCAACAGCAGUCACCAGUACUUUUAGAAUCUCAGACUAUUUGUUCUCCUACGUAGCACACAUACAUUCAGUGGAAGGAUGCAGGCUUAUUAGCAAAGGGGUCUUUCUGGUACCUCAGUGUUUGUACGCUAGAGGUUCGCUCUCUAUUUCCUGUGUUAUUUAAUAAUCAGUUUAAUUUUAGUCAAGUUUCACUUUACUACUCCUAGAAAUUGGAGAAAAAUAUUGCCUACGUUCACUUGCUGUGUCACACAGACACAACACCCAGCAAAGGUAAAAGAUAAAGGAUCAAUUCUUAUGGAUUGCAUA